AAUAGAUACCCGGGUAGUCCACGCCGUAAACGAUGAGUGCUAAGUGUUAGAGGGUUUCCGCCCUUUAGUGCUGCAGCAAACGCAUUAAGCACUCCGCCUGGGGAGUACGGCCGCAAGGCUGAAACUCAAAGGAAUUGACGGGGGACCCGCACAAGCGGUGGAGCAUGUGGUUUAAUUCGAAGCAACGCGAAGAACCUUACCAGGUCUUGACAUCCUCUGACCAUCCUAGAGAUAGGACCUUCCCCUUCGGGGGACAGAGUGACAGGUGGUGCAUGGUUGUCGUCAGCUCGUGUCGUGAGAUGUUGGGUUAAGUCCCGCAACGAGCGCAACCCUUGUACUUAGUUGCCAUCAUUUAGUUGGGCACUCUAAGGUGACUGCCGGUGACAAACCGGAGGAAGGUGGGGAUGACGUCGAAAUCAUCAUGCCCCUUAUGACCUGGGCUACACACGUGCUACAAUGGAUGGUACAAAGGGCUGCAAGACCGCGAGGUUAAGCGAAUCCCAUAAAACCAUUCUCAGUUCGGAUUGCAGGCUGCAACG
rnacentral:rRNA from 1 species